AUUGAACGCUGGCGGCAGGCCUAACACAUGCAAGUCGAGCGGAUGAAGGGAGCUUGCUCCUGGAUUCAGCGGCGGACGGGUGAGUAAUGCCUAGGAAUCUGCCUGGUAGUGGGGGAUAACGUCCGGAAACGGGCGCUAAUACCGCAUACGUCCUGAGGGAGAAAGUGGGGGAUCUUCGGACCUCACGCUAUCAGAUGAGCCUAGGUCGGAUUAGCUAGUUGGUGGGGUAAAGGGCUACCAAGGCGACGAUCCGUAACUGGUCUGAGAGGAUGAUCAGUCACACUGGAACUGAGACACGGUCCAGACUCCUACGGGAGGCAGCAGUGGGGAAUAUUGGACAAUGGUCGAAAGCCUGAUCCAGCCAUGCCGCGUGUGUGAAGAAGGUCUUCGGAUUGUAAAGCACUUUAAGUUGGGAGGAAGGGCAGUAAGUUAAGACCUUGCUGUUUUGACGGUACCAACAGAAUAAGCACCGGCUAACUUCGUG
rnacentral:rRNA from 1 species